UUUCGAGUGAGCUUGGGGGAUUCGAUCGAGGUCAAGGAUUGGUCUAUGCAAAUGGUAGUUGCUCAUUUUUCUCCACCCAUUUUAUAAAAAUGAUCUUCCGAUGGAUAAGGGGGAUCUUCCAGAGAAUAUAGAUCUACUGGAAAAGAGAUAUUCGUUAGAGAAUGGAGAUCGAAAAAAGUGUUUUGGUAGGUGAUUUUUCUCUGUGCUUUCUAAGGCAUCUAUGCCAGUCUGCCCUAUCUUUAUAGAUAGGAGCCCCUCUCUGGUAGAAAUUUCUUCCCAACGCUAUCUGUCCAAGGGGAAAAGGCUUUCAAGCUUCAGUGUGCCAAGCGAGCGCUGCCCAUUCACUCCUAAGAGUGCUU
rnacentral:lncRNA from 1 species